rnacentral:rRNA from 1 species
UACGAACUGUGCGAACGUUAUUCGGAAUCACUGGGCUUACAGGGUGCGUAGGCGGCUCAACAAGUCAGGUGUGAAAGCCCCCGGCUCAACCGGGGAACUGCGCUUGAAACUGUUAGGCUCGAGUGAGCUAGAGGUACACGGAACUUCCAGUGGAGCGGUGAAAUGUGUUGAUAUUGGAAGGAACACCGGAGGCGAAAGCGGUGUACUGGGGCUGGUCUGACGCUGAGGCACGAAAGCCAGGGGAGCGAACGGG